GGAGUUGUGGCUCAGCAGGAGAGCGCUCGCCUAGCAUGUGUGAGGCACUGGGUUCAAUCCUCAGCACCA
rnacentral:tRNA from 1 species